GUUCUGCAUCUGUGUCAGGACAGGACAGGAGUCAUUUCUGUACAAUGGUCCGGACGGAUCAGAAAUCCAUUUUCCAUGAUAUAGAUCACAUUCUGGAUCUAGCUUAGCCUGAUUUACGCUAUUGGGUCCAGUAGAUGAAGAUUUUACGUCCUCUGAAUGGGUAUCAGAAGAUGGAAGAGUCCCUUCAUUCUUGCUUUCCUUCUGCGAACUAACAUUGUUACUCUUCUUGUCUUCUUGCUUUGAUACAGGAUGUGGUUGAACCACAGAAUGAUUGGAUUCUGACAAAACAGGUAUUUGGGUAGAAUUUUCAACUAGUUCCCCCUUAGAAUCUAGCUCUUUCUUUUCGUCUUGAGACUUGUAAGUCUGGUCCUUUUCAUCCUUAAGUCCUUUUUCAUUGUUUUCCUUCGCCGUCAAAUUAAAGUUAGGUGUACCAUUAAUACCAACAUUAUCACGACGAGGAUCAGCAAAUUUUACCCUAUCCCCAUCUAAUAAAUUAGGCCUUGUCAACUGAUGAACACCAUAAAAAUACUCAUGGACUGCAGCCCCAAUAGGCUGAGAAACCAGAAAUGAGGAAGCAAGAAUCAAAAACACAGCAAGACCUCCUACUGUAGUUACAAUAGACAAUAGUGACUUUGGAUAGGACAGCACGGAAGGAUCUUUAGGUGAAAAAGAAGACAUAGCUUCUCAAAUGUCUAGCAAUCUCUAGAACAACAUGGGGUUUUCUAGAACAACUAAUGUCACUAGGAUAUGGCUUCAAAACCACAAUCCCCAAAACCAAAAGAAACUACAAAAAAAAAGAAUCUUUAUCCAAUUUUGAGAAUGUUGAAGCUCUCAAUACCAGAAUAACCACCUUUAGAGAACUACGGCCAACUAAAGCUAAGAAAAACAAAUCACUUCCUGAACACCAACUACACAGAUAACCUUCAGGAAAACCAAAAUCAACCCAUUUCAUAAAAUUCAAAGCUGAUGAAAGCAAACCCACAAAUGAAUCUUCAAAAUACACCGGAAACUCACAAACAAAUCGCCGGCGAGCUCUGCUUACAG
rnacentral:misc_RNA from 1 species